rnacentral:rRNA from 1 species
UGGAUGCCUAGGCAAUCAGAGGCGAUGAAGGACGUGCUAAUCUGCGAAAAGCGUCGGUAAGGUGAUAUGAACCGUUAUACCCGACGAUAUCCGAAUGGGGAAACCCAGUAUCCAAUGGAUACUAUCAUUAACUGAAUCCAUAGGUUAAUGAGGCGAACCGGGAGAACUGAAACAUCUCAGUACCCCGAGGAAAAGAAAUCAACCGAGAUUCCCCUAGUAGCGGCGAGCGAACGGGGAGCAGCCCAGAGUCUUAAUCAAUAGCAGUGUCAGGAGAACGGUCUGGAAAGUCCGGCAGUAAAGGGUGAUAGCCCCGUAUCUGAAGAUGCUGUUGUUGUGAACUCGACGAGUAGGGCGGGACACGUGUUAUCCUGUCUGAAUAUGGGGGGACCAUCCUCCAAGGCUAAAUACUCCUGAUUGACCGAUAGUGAACCAGUACCGUGAGGGAAAGGCGAAAAGAACCCCGGCGAGGGGAGUGAAAAAGAACCUGAAACCGUGUACGUACAAGCAGUAGGAGCC